UGUUGAUGGCUGAACAUUGCAUUAUCCUAGAAAACUUGGAGGCCAGUGAGGACUAAAAUAAAAAGUUAUAAGACUUUUAAGAAUGUGGAUUUUUGGGUUUUUUUGGCGCCCCCUAGAACUAAAACCGUAGGGUGCAGCGUCAUGAUUUGUACAACUUUUAAUGGCCAUGGGGUGUAGAUUGGCCUGAGCAAAUUUGGUGCUGGUGGAAUGAAAGCCUUCAGAGGAGUUAGCCACAUUCCAAUGUCCCUUUUGGAGUUAGUUACACCAGAAAAAAAAGUAAAAUGAAAAAGAAAUAUUUGGGGUGUUCGGGCUUCCUGAAGGUAAUACAUGGGUAUUAGGUUAUGGAGCUUUGGAAAGGUUUAAGGUUUUUGGCGUUAGGGUUAAAAUCAAUGUCCAAAACCUUUGUAGGAACUCUUUUCCAACCUUAUGGAGUUAGUUAGACCAAACAAAAAAAGAAAAAUGAAAUAAAAAAUAUUUGGGGUGUUCAGGCUUCCUGAAGGUAAUACCCGGGUAUUACGUUAUGGGGCUAGGGUAAGGUUUAAGGUUUUUGGUGUUAGGAUUAAAAUCAAUGUCCAAAACCUUUUUAGGAAAAUGUUUCAGACCUUUUGGAGUUAGUUACACCAAAAAAAAAUGUAAAAUGAAAAAGAAAUAUUUGGGGUGUUCGGGCUUCCUGAAGGUAAUACAUGGGUAUUUGGUUAAGGGGUUAUGGUAAGGUUUAAGGUUUUUGGCGUUAGGGUUAUAAUCACUGUCCAAAACCUUUGUUGGAACUGUUUUCCAACCUUUUGGAGUUAGUUAGACCAAAAAAAUGAAAAAUGAAAAAAAAAAAAAUAUUUGGGGUGUUUGGGCUUCCUGAAGGUUAUACCCGGGUAUUAGGUUAUGGGGCUUAGGAAACAUUUAAGGUUUUUGGCGUUAGGGUUAUAAUCACUGUCCAAAACCUUUGUUGGAACUGUUUUCCAACCUUUUGGAGUUAGUUAGACCAAAAAAAUGAAAAAUGAAAAAAAAAAAAAUAUUUGGGGUGUUUGGGCUUCCUGAAGGUUAUACCCGGGUAUUAGGUUAUGGGGCUUAGGAAACAUUUAAGGUUUUUGGCGUUAGGGUUAAAAUCACUGUCCAAAACCUUUGUAGGAACUCUUUUGCAAUCUUUUGGAGUUAGUUAAACCAAAAAAAUGAAGAAAUGAAAAAAAAAUAUUUGGGGUGUUCGGGCUUCCUGAAGGUAAUACCUGGGUAUUAGGUUAUGGGGCUUAGGAAAGGUUUAAUGUUUUUGGCGUUAGGGUUAAAAUCACUGUCCAAAACUUUUGUAGGAACAUGUUUCAGACCUUUUGGAGUUGGUUACACUAAAAAAAAUGUAAAAUGAAAAAAAAGAUAUUUGGGGUGUUCGGGCUUCCUGAAGGUAAUACCCGGGUAUUAGGUUAUGGGGCGAUGGUAAGGUUUAAGGUCUUUGGAGUUAGGGUUAAAAUCACUGUCCAAAACCUUUGGAGGAACUCUUUUCCAAGCUUUUGUAGUUAGAACAAAAAAAAAAAGAAAAAUGAAAUAAAAAAUAUUUGGGGUGUUCGGGCUUCCUGAAGGUAAUACCCGGGUAGUAGGUUAUGGGGCUAUGGUAAGGUUUAAGGUUUUUGGCAUUCGGGUUAAAAUCACUGUCCAAAACCUUUGUAGGAACUCUUUUCCAAGCUUUCGGAGUUAGUUAGACCAAAAAAAAUGAAAAAUGAAAAAAAAAUAUUUGGGGUUUUCGGGCUUCCUGAAGGUAUUACCCGGGUAUUAGGUUAUGGGGCUUUGGAAAGGUUUAGGGUUUUUGGCAUUAGGGUUAAAAUCACUAUCCAAAACCUUUGUAGGAACUCUUUUCCAACAUUUCGGAGUUAGUUAGACCAAAAAAAAGAUGAAAAAAAAAAAUAUAUAUAUAUUUGGGGGUUCGGGCUUCCUGAAGGUAAUACCCGGGUAUUAGAUUAUGGGGCUAUGGUAAGGUUUAAGGUUUUUGGUGUUAGGGUUAAAAUCACUGUCCAAAACCUUUGUAGGAACUCUUUUCCAAGCUUUCAGAGUUAGUUAGACCAAAAAAAAAUGAAAAAUGAAAUAAAAAUAUUUGUGGUUUUCGGGCUUCCUGAAGAUAAUACCCGGGUAUUAGGUUAUGGGGCUUAGGAAAGGUUUAAGGUUUUUGGCGUAAGGGUUAAAAUCACUGUCCAAAACCUUUGUAGGAACUCUUUUCCAACCUUUUUGAGUCAGUUAGACCAAAAAAAAUGAAAAAUGAAAAAAAAAUAUUUGGGGUUUUCGGGCUUCCUGAAGGUAUUACCCGGGUAUUAGGUUAUGGGGCUUUGGAAAGGUUUAGGGUUUUUGGCAUUAGGGUUAAAAUCACUAUCCAAAACCUUUGUAGGAACUCUUUUCCAAGCUUUCGGAGUUAGUUAGACCAAAAAAAAUGAAAAAUGAAAAAAAAAUAUUUGGGGUUUUCGGGCUUCCUGAAGGUAUUACCCGGGUAUUAGGUUUUGGGGCUAGGGUAAGGUUUGAGGUUUUUGGCAUUAGGGUUAAAAUCACUGUCCAAAACCUUUUUAGGAACAUGUUUCAGACCUUUUGGAGUUUGUACACCAAAAAAAAAAUGUAAAAUGAAAAAAAAUAUAUUUGGGGUGUUCGGGCUUCCUGAAGGUAAUACCCGGGUAUUAGGUUAUGGGGCUAUGGUAAGGUUUAAGGUUUUUGGCAUUCGGGUUAAAAUCACUGUCCAAAACCUUUGUAGGAACUCUUUUCCAAGCUUUCGGAGUUAGUUAGACCAAAAAAAAUGAAAAAUGAAAAAAAAAUAUUUGGGGUUUUCGGGCUUCCUGAAGGUAUUACCCGGGUAUUAGGUUAUGGGGCUUUGGAAAGGUUUAGGGUUUUUGGCAUUAGGGUUAAAAUCACUAUCCAAAACCUUUGUAGGAACUCUUUUCCAACAUUUCGGAGUUAGACCAAAAAAAAGAUGAAAAAAAAAAAUAUAUAUAUAUUUGGGGGGUUCGGGCUUCCUUAAGGUAAUACCCGGGUAUUAGAUUAUGGGGCUAUGGUAAGGUUUAAGGUUUUUGGUGUUAGGGUUAAACUCACUGUCCAAAACCUUUGUAGGAACUCUUUUCCAAGCUUUCAGAGUUAGUUAGACCAAAAAAAAAUGAAAAAUGAAAUAAAAAUAUUUGUGGUUUUCGGGCUUCCUGAAGAUAAUACCCGGGUAUUAGGUUAUGGGGCUUAGGAAAGGUUUAAGGUUUUUGGCGUAAGGGUUAAAAUCACUGUCCAAAACCUUUGUAGGAACUCUUUUCCAACCUUUUUGAGUCAGUUAGACCAAAAAAAAAAGAAAAAAGAAAAAAAUAUAUUUGGGGUUUUCAGGCUUCCUGGAGGUAAUACCCGGGUAUUAGGUUUUGGGGCUAGGGUAAGGUUUGAGGUUUUUGGCAUUAGGGUUAAAAUCACUGUCCAAAACCUUUUUAGGAACAUGUUUCAGACCUUUUGGAGUUUGUACACCAAAAAAAAAAUGUAAAAUGAAAAAAAAUAUAUUUGGGGUGUUCGGGCUUCCUGAAGGUAAUACCCGGGUAUCAGGUUACUGGGCUAUGGUAAGGUUUAAGGUUUUUGGCGUUAAGGUUAAAAUUACUGUCCAAAACCUUUGUAGGAACUCUUUUCCAACCUUUUGGAGUUAGUUAGAACAAAAAAAGGAUGAAAAAUAAAAAAAAAUGUAUUUGGGGUGUUAGGGCUUCCUGAAGGUCAUCCCCGGGUAUUAGGUUUUGGGGCUAGGGUAAGGUUUAAGGUUUUUGGCGUAAGGGUUAAAAUCACUGUCCAAAACCUUUGUAGGAACUCUUUUCCAACCUUUUGGAGUUAGACCAAAAAAGAAUUAAAAAUGAAAAGAAAAUAUUUGGGGUUUUCGGGCUUCCUGAAGGUAAUACCCAGGUAUUAGGUUAUGGGGCUAGGGUUAGGUUUUAGGUUUUUGGCGUUAGGGUUAAUAUCAAUGUCCAAAACCUUUGUAGGAACUCUUUUCCAAGCUUUUGGAGGUAGUUAGACGAAAAAAAAAGAAAAAUUAGAAAAAAAUAUUUGUGGUUUUCGGGCUUCCUGAAGGUAAUACCCGGUUAUUAGGUAAUGGGGCUUUGGAAAGGUUUAGGGUUUUUGGCAUUAGGGUUAAAAUCACUAUCCAAAACCUUUGUAGGAACUCUUUUCCAACAUUUCGGAGUUAGUUAGACCAAAAAAAAUGAAAAAUGAAAUAAAAAAUAUUUGGGGUGUUCAGGCUUCCUGAAGGUAAUACCUUCAGUAUUAGGUUAUGGGGCUUAGGAAAGGUUUAAGGUUUUUGGCGUUAGGGUUAAAAUCACUGUCCAAAACCUUUGUAGGAACUGUUUUCCAACCUUUUUGAGUUAGUUAGACCAAAAAAAAAAGAAAAAUGAAAAAAAAAAUAUUUGGAUUGCAAAAAUAUAUCAAGGUCCAAAGAUGGUGUGCGCACUUGUCUGUGGUCAUUUACCAUUAUAAUGAAUGGGAGGCGCAGUUUCUACCAAAACACUUGCUGCAGACAAACUUCAUGACCUAUAUGAAAAAAGUCUGGACCAUGAGUGAGGGCACAAACACAGCUAGUAUAUAUCCAAAUGGCAAGUUGCUCCUCCUUUCGGUUUUGCAGAGAGAGCGGUGUGUUUGAGCCAUUGAGCGAUGGGCAGGAAAAACUUGACUUUUUCUCCUGCCUUGGGGGGGUGCUCUUUUGGUGAGAAAAAAAUGACUUCACAAAUGUGUUGAUGGCUGAACAUUGCAUCAUCCUAGAAAACUUGGAUGAGUGGCCAAAACUUCUUUGUCUGCUGUAAAAUCAAAUUGGAUUAAUAUUUUUUCCAGAUUUUUUUUUGUACAUCUCUUAUUUUACUUCUGCCCUGUUCAAAACUAGCAAAUGUUUCAUUGAAGAUAUUUUUUUUAACCAUUUAAGAGCCUUUUAACUUUUUCUGUAGUAUCAGAUUUAAUAGACAACUCCUUUGGCGCCACUCAGUGGCCAUAACUACUUUGUCUGCUGUUAAUAGACAACUCCCUUUGGCGCCACUCAGUGGCCAAAACAAUUUGUAAUCAUGUGGAUUUUUGGGUUAUCUUUGGCGCCCCCUAGAACGUAAACCGUGGGGUGCAGCGUCAUGAUUUUGAACUUUGAAUGGCCAUGGGUUGUAGAUUGGCCUGAGCAAAUUUGGUGUCGGUGGGACGAAAGCCUUAGGAGUUAGCAACAUUCCAAUGUGUGCGAAUCGGCAAAAAAUGCGAAAUAGCCCUUUAACCGUACAUUUCACAGAUACGUGUGCAUUGACUUUUUCGUAGAUCUUAUUGAGAUACACGUGUGUGUCAAAUUUUGUGUCAAUAUGACAAAGUGUAUAGGCGUGACACUCAACAAAGUGUAUUUUCACCUUAGGGGACAAGAAAAAAUGGACUUUUUUCUCCUGCCAUGGGGGGCGCUCUUUUGGGGAGUAAAAAUUCCUUCUCAAAUGUGUUGAUGGCUGGACAUGGCAUUAUCCUAGAAAACUUGGAGGCCAGUGAGGACUAAAAUAAAAAGUUAUAAGACUUUUAAGAAUGUGGAUUUUGGGGUUUUUUUUGGCGCCCCCUAGAACUUAAACCGUAGGGUGCAGCGUCAUGAUUUGUACAACUUUUAAUGGCCAUGGGGUGUAGAUUGGCCUGAGCAAAUUUGGUGCCGUUGGAACGAAAGCCUUCAGAGGAGUUAGCCACAUUCCAAUGUGUGCGGACCGGCAAAAAAUGCGAAAUAGCCCUUUAACCGUACUUUUCACAAAAGCACCUGCACUGACUUUUUCGUAGACCUUAUUAAGAUACACGUGUGUGUCAAUUUUUGUAUCAAUAUGACAAAGCGUACAGACGUGGUUUUUGGCGUUAGGGUUAAAAUCACUGUCCAAAACCUUUGUAGGAACUCUUUUCCAACCUUUUGGAGUUAGCUAGACCAAAAAAAAAAACGAAAAAUGAAAAAAAAAAUGUUUGGGGUUUGAAGGCUUCCUGAAGGUAAUACCCGGGUAUUAGGUUACGGGGCUAUGGUAAGGUUUAAGGUUUUUGGCGUUAGGGUUAAAAUCACUGUCCAAAACCUUUGUAGGAUCUGCUUUUUCAACCUUUUUGAGUUAGUUAGACAAAAAAAAAAAAAACGAAAAAUGAAAUGAAAAUUUUUGGGUGUGGGUCCAUGUUAAUUUUGUUGACGAAAAAUUUUCGUCAUUGUCAUCGUCAACGACCUUUUUUUUCUGACUAAAACGAGACGAUAACUUGAUAAAAAGUAAUUCACAAGGCCUAAGACGAUAACGAAGUGUAUUGACAUGUUUGUCAACGAAUAAAAACGAGACGAAAAUGUCUGGCAAGGAUCCAAUCAGAGCUCAUUUUGUUUGUGGAAGGAAAUGACGAUUUUAGAAAGAGGCGGGAGGAGUUGGGAGGGAGAACCAAUCAGAGCGACGUGGUUAGGAUGUUUGAGACCGAGCCCGGCAAAGGCGAAAUGUCCCCGCGCUCCUCGUCGUGCUCAGCUGAAAAUGUCAACAACAGCAGGGAGGAAGAGGCGUCAGGAUGUGUGGACGCACUUUACUUUUGAUUUAAAGGACAACAAAACACUUUGCAAAAACUGUGGAGCAAAAAUAACCGGGAAAAACACAACGAAUCUGAAGAGGCACCUGGAGUCGAGCCACCAUGAUAUAUACGCUCAGGUAAGCAUGAAUGAAUGAAUGGAUGAAACCUGCUCCAUAACGUUAACGUAACGUUACAUUUUAACAUAACACACAAGGCUCUGAACAUACGUGAACUCACUCACUAGCCUGGUUAUUUUUUUGCUCUUUUGUUAAACCCACACCGCCAUGUGCAUUUUCUUUCAACGGGGGCUCUCUGAUAAAUCAAUCUCGUUAAUUAUCAUUUAACGUUACGGUGCGGGUCGUCGGGGGCGAUACCAAUACACCACUGCUGUUCUGUUAAGCUAAAGGUACCUGCUGGCUGCUGAUUUAAAUGCAUAUAAUUCAUUUAACUAUUUUGUUGGUGUUAAAAAUGAACUCUACCGUCCUUUUUUCUUCAUCACAGCUACAGAAGACUUCAGGUGACCUCGAUGGGCCACAGGGUGCCAAGAAAAAGAAAGGAACAGUUUUGGCUGCCUUUUUGAAUGUUUUGAAACAUAAAUAAAAUGAAUUACAAGUGGAAUCUGUCUGUGUGUGAAUUGAACAGUUGUUCUUUAACACAGGUUUAUUGUUGUAAAGGUAAUGACUUUCAGAAAAUGUACAUAUUAUUACCCUUUACACACUUUUUAGUUGACUAAAUCUAUUGUAAUUUUCAUCGACUAAAACUCUUGUGAUAUUAGUCGACUAAAACUAGACUAAACUAAAAAGAUUUCAGAUGACUAAAAUAUGACUAAAACUAAGUAGUGUUUUAGUCAAAAGACUAAGACUAAAACUAAAUCAGAAUUUGUUGUCAAAAUUAACACUGGUGUGGGUAAGAGAUAGAGUGAUAGCCCCCACAUUCGUCAGUUGCCUUGGCGGUUUGGGGUAGGCUGAUCAAGGGCUUGCACUGGCCGGCACAUGUCGACCUGUCACAUGUUCCCAGUCGAUUCUCCGAGCUCAAUCUGUGUGUAAAAAUUAUGUGUUGGUAGGAAGUUUAAUGACUCAGCUCAAUUGGUAUGCUAUGCUGUCUAUCUUUUAGACUAUGUGUUUGUAGAGCAAUUAUUUUUGGAGGUUCAGUUAGGGAGUAGAGUUGGUAUGGUUAAGUGUUAAAAUAAUAAUAAUAAUAAUAAUAAUAAUAAUAAUAAUAAUAAUAAUAAUAUUAUUAUUAUUAUUAAUAAUAAUUUUUCUUAUUGAGAAGGACUAGGUGGUGUUCGUAGGGAGGGAAUAGGGUGAAUUUUAUCUAUAGGAGUAGGGUUAUGGUGCAUUAGUGCAAAGUCUCAGAGGUGCCACAAACUUCAAACACGACACAAACUCAAGUUCAAAAACACCACAGACUCAAGUUCAAAAACGACACAAACUGAAGUUCAACAAACAAAACUAACUAUUAAGAGUAAUUUUGAGGUGUUUUUCGUAGACUUACCCUAGUGGUCCUAUGUUGUUGUUGAUGUGAGGCGUUUCUUUUCCAGUAGUCUAAAAUCUGUUGGAGGGGGGAAAAGGUUCCAGCUGUCCAGCCGCGGCGGCAGCGGUGUGUCUGAAGUCCGGGGUCCUCGGCGGGGGAAAGAAGAUAGGCGCUCCGCGGGAAGGUUUGCUGGGACUCGGUGCCGUCGGCGGGGCGAAGCUCGGUGGUGGGCGGCUUGGAGUGAUGGAGGUGCGGCGUCUUCCUCGAGGCGGUGGUCCGUCUUCUUGGUCCAGUGGUCAGUGCUCAUUUACAGGAACAGGAAUUGCUGUUUAGUGCACAGCACUUAAUUGUGCUUUUGACAGGAGAAGACAUCCUCAGAGUUGGGCUCCAGUCAUGGUUUGUGCUGUUCCUCUCAGACAUGGUUGUGUUCUCUUCUCGAUGUUUGUAUUCCAGAAUGGAUGUCUCUUGGUUGUAUUUUAAACUUUCAAGUUGUUUUAAGUUAAUUUUAAUGUAGUUUUGUUUUAAAUUGAGUUUUGCUACAUUAAAUUUGUAUGCAAUGGUAAGGGAUUGUGGGUAUUUUAGUUCUCAGGGAUGAGAGCCUAAGGAAUCAAUCUUCCUGUUACAGCAAAGGAUUGUGGGUAAAACCGUGAGUGAGGGAGGUACAUUUUUCCUGGCAUGAGAACCUCAGGAGUCAGUCCUUCCUAAGAAAAAAGAGGGGAGGGGGAAGAAAAACAAAAGCACAGGAACCCUAAAAUAAAAUAAAAUAAAAUAAUAUAAAACAAUGAAAAAAUAAAAAAAUAAAAGAAGAACAAAAGUGGAUUGCAAAAGGGAAAGGGGAAGAAAAAAGGAAAAAAAGAAGUGUCAAGAGCAAAUAGCAAAAAUCAGAAGUGAGCUUAAAAACAGAGAACAGUUCCCUAAAAGACAGACAGAAAUGUAAAUUUGAUCAAUGUCCUAAGGGAAAAUCUGUACGUGUAUGUGUGUUCUUUUUUGCAAGCUUAGUCUGGUGUCACUGAUGGUCAGUUAUUAAUAAGUAUUUAUUAUUUAAAUUUUUGAUGAAGUUGUUUGUAGUGGGGUUAGCUGGCUAAUUUUAGAGUGUUAAAAAAGAUGUUAGAGGGGGAGGAUUUAGGGGGCACGGCGGUUCCCCUUCAGGUCUCUCUUAAUCCUCCAUAUAGGUGACCCAACAGGGGUUACCCCCCGGCCUGGGUAGGCCUAGGCUGAAGAUCACCUAUUUGUCCUCUGUGAAGGUGAAAAUAAAGGGGCAGGGGAGGGAAUAAGAAAGAGGGGGUGUGUUAGAGAGAGGGGGAGAGAUGAGGGAGAGAGAUGAGGGAGAGAGAGAGAGGGGUGUGUGUGUGUGUGUGUGAGAGAGAGAGAGAGAGAGAGAGAGAGAGAAGGGAAGAGGGAGAGGGGGGUUUAAGGGAGAGGUGGAGAUGGUGGAAAAUAAAGAUUGGUGAGGGGGAUUUGGUGGCGGAUGAAACAUCCCAUAGCUCCCCUGCUCUCACCAUCCAUGUGAGGAGAGUGAGCAAGGGACAUAGUCCCCCGACCCGACUAGGUCUAGGCUCUGCUCUCCUCACGGUCCUCACAAGAUACAAAGAGAUAUGUAAACGUGGAAGUGAGAGUUCUCUAGGCAGAGUUUUGGGUUUGGUUUGAGCUGAGUUGGUCAGUUGAUUAUUGAUUACUAUUUUAAGUUCUAAAAGUGGAUAGAGUCAAAAAGUCACAGAGGAUUGUGGUGGGAGCAGGUGGUCCGUCUGGCACCAUUCUGCUCAUGCAGGGAUUCGAGUGAUAGAAAGAGAAUAGAUCUUGCCACCGUGACUCGCCAUUGAGACUCUCCUCACCUGCUGGUUUUCAUCCUCUGAUAGGAGAGAGAGGUACAGAUCAGGAGAGAGGGAGAAAAGGAGGGAGGCAGGGUGGGGUCAGUAGUUAAUUUGUCUUGAAAAGUAUUUAUCUUUUCGUCAUUGCUGUUAGGGUUUAGAUGUUUUUUGUUUAGUUAUCUGAGGAAUGUAGUGUUAGUAUAGGUUCCAAGGUGGAGAAUUCUUUGGAAUUCACUUUCACCCUUGAAACUGGAAGAUCUUAGAUUCUAUAAAGGGUGGGGGGGUUGUGUGCACAGAAGGAGCAUGGGCUCAGACUAUUCUCUGAAUGAUAUUGUGACAAGUCUGUCCGAACGCAAGUGGCUGGUUAGGUGUGGGAAAGAGAUAGAGUGAUAGCCCCCGCUUUUGUCAGUUGACUUGGCGGUUUGGGGUAGGCUGAUCAAGGGCUUGCACUGGCCGGCGCAUGUCGACCUGUCACAUGUUCCAGUCGAGUCUCCGAGCUCAAUCUGUGUGUAAAAAUUAUGUGUUGGUAGAAAGUUUAAUGACUCAGCUCAGUUGGUAUGCUAUGCUGUCUAUCUUUUAGACUAUGUGUUUGUAGAGCAAUAUUAUGUAUAUAUUAUGUUACAGGGCUAGGAAAAGGUUAAAGGUUUUUGGUGUUAGGGUUAAAAUCACUGUCCAAAACCUUUGUAGGAACUCUUUUCCAACCUUUUGGAGGGAGCUAGACUAAAAAAAAAAAAAAUAAUAAUAAUGAAAAAAAAGUUUUUGGGGGUGUUAAGACUUCCUGAAGGUAAUACCCAGGUAUUAGGUUACGGGGCUAGGGUAAGGUUUAAGGUUUUUGGCGUAUGGGUUAAAAUCACUGUCCAAAACCUUUGUAGGAACUCUUUUCCAACCUUUUGGAGUUCGUUAGACCAAAAAAAGAAAAAGAAAAAAAUAUGUUUGGGGUGUUAAGGCUUCCUAAAGGUAAUACCCUGGUAUUAUGGUUAUGUGGCUAUGGUAAGGUUUAAGGUUUUUGGCGAAAGGGUUAAAAUCACUGUCCAAAACCUUUGUAGGAACUCUUUUCCAACCUUUUGGAGUUAUUUACACCAAAAAACAAUGAAAAAUGAAAAAAAAAUAUUUGGGGUUUUCGGGCUUCCUGAAGGUAAUACCCGGGUUAUUAGGUUAUGGGGCGAGGGUAAGGUUUAAGGUUUUUGGCGUUAAGGUUAAAAUCACUGUCCAAAACCUUUUUAGGAACAUGUUUCAGACCUUUUGGAGUUGGUUACACAAAAAAAAAUGUAAAAUGAAAAAAAUAUUUGGGGUGUUCAGGCUUCCUGAAGGUAAUAACCGUACUACUCGGGUAUUAGGUUAUGGGGCUAGGGUAAGGUUUAAGGUUUAUGGCGUGAGGGUUAAAAUCACUGUCCAAUAUUUUUUAAGGAACAUGUUUCAGACCUUUUGGAGUUAGUUAAACCAAUAAAAUGAAUAAAAAAAUAUUUGGGGUUUUCGGGCUUCCUGAAGGUAAUACCCGGGUAUUAGGUUAUGGGGCUAGGGGAAGGUUUAAGGUUUUUGGCGUUAGGGUUAAAAUCACUGUCCAAAACCUUUUUAGGAACAUGUUUCAGAACUUUUGGAGUUUGUUACACCAAAAAAAAAAUGUAAAAUGAAAAAAAAAUAUAUUUGGGGUGUUCGGGCUUCCUGAAGGAAAUACCCAGGUAUUAGGUUAUGGGGCUAUGGUAAGGUCUAAGGUUUUUGGCAUUAGGGUUAAAAUCACUGUCCAAAACCUUUGUUGGAAUAAGUUUCAGACCUUUUGGAGUUAGGUAGACCAAAAAGAAAUGAAAAGUGAAAAAAAAAUAUUUGGGGUGUUCGGGCUUCCUGAAGGUAAUACCCAGGUAUUAGGUUAUGGGGCGAGGGGAAAUUUUAAGGCUUUUGGCGUUAGGGUUAAAAUCACUGUCCAAAACCUUUGUAGGAACUCUUUUCCAAGCUUUUGGAGUUAGUUAGACCAAAAAAAUGAAUAAAAAAAUAUUUGGGGUUUUCGGGCUUCCUGAAGGUAAUACCCAGGUAUUAGGUUAUGGGGCUAGGGGAAGGUUUAAGGCUUUUGGCGUUAGGGUUAAAAUCACUGUCCAAAACCUUUGUAGGAACUCUUUUCCAACCUUUUGGAGUUAGUUAGACCAAAAAAAAAAGAAAAAUGAAAAAAAUAUAUUUGGGGUGUUCGGGCUUCCUGAAGGUAAUACCCAGGUAUUAGGUUAUGGGGCUAGGGUAAGGUUUUAGGUUUAUGGCGUUAGGGUUAAAAUCACUGUCCAAAACCUUUUUAGGAACAUGUUUCAGACCAUUUGCAGUUGGUUAAACCAAAAAAAAAAAAGUAAAAUGAAAAAAAAAAUAUUUGGGGUGUUCGGGCUUCCUGAAGGACCUAUUAGGUUAUGGGGCUAAGGUAAGGUUUAAGGUUUUUGGCGUUAGGGUUAAAAUCACUGUCCAAAACCUUUGUAGGAACUCUUUUCCAACCUUUUGGAGUUAGUUAGACCAAAAAAAAAAAAAAUGAAAAAAAAAUAUUUGGGGUGUUCGGGCUUCCUGAAGGUAAUACCCCGGUAUUAGGUUAUGGGGCUAUGGUAAGGUUUAAGGUUUUUGGCGUUAGGGUUAAAAUCACUGUCCAAAACCUUUUUAGGAACAUGUUUCAGAACUUUUGGAGUUUGUUACACCAAAAAAAAAAGUAAAAUGAAAAAAAAUAUAUUUGGGGUGUUCGGGCUUCCUGAAGGUAAUACCCAGGUAUUAGGUUAUGGGGCUAGGGUAAGGUUUUAGGUUUUUGGC